GUGCACACCAACACCUGCAGACCAAUGUCCACACCAACACCUGCACACCAAUGUCCACACCAACACCUGUACACCAACACCUGCACACCAACGUCCACACCAGCACCUGCACACCAACGUCCACACCACCUGCACACCAAUGUCCACACCAGCACCUGCACACCAAUGUCCACACCAACACCUGCACACCAACACCUGCACACCAACACCUGCACACCAACGUCCACACCAGCACCUGCACACCAAUAUCCACACCAACACCUGCACACCAAUGUCCACACCAACACCUGCACACCAACACCUACACACCAACGUCCACACCAGCACCUGCACACCAAUGUCUACACCAGCACCUGCACACCAAUGUCCACGCCAACACCUGCACACCAACAUCCACGCCAACACCUGCACACCAACGUCCACACCAACACCUGCACACCAACGUCCACACCAGCACCUGCACACCAAUGUCCACACCAACACCUGCACACCAAUAUCCACACCAACACCUGCACACCAAUAUCCACACCAACACCUGCACACCAAUGUCCACACCAACACCUGCACACCAACACCUACACACCAACGUCCACACCAACACCCACACCAACACCUGCACACCAACGUCCACACCAACA
rnacentral:lncRNA from 1 species